rnacentral:rRNA from 1 species
UGAGGAAUAUUGCACAAUGGGCGCAAGCCCGAUGCAGCAACGCCGCGUGGGCGAUGAAGGCCUUCGGGUCGUAAAGCCCUUUUUGAGGGGAUGAGGAAGGACAGUACCCUCAGAAUAAGCCUCGGCUAACUACGUGCCAGCAGCCGCGGUAAAACGUAGGAGGCGAGCGUUAUCCGGAUUUCCUGGGCGUAAAGCGCGUGCAGGCGGAUUGGAGAGUUGGAUGUGAAAGCUCCCGGCUUAACUGGGAGAGGUCGUUCAAUACUUCCACGCCUGAGUGCAGUAGAGGUAAGUGGAAUUCCGGGUGUAGUGGUGCAAUGCGUAGAUAUCCGGAGGAACACCAGUGGCGAAAGCGGCUUCCUGGACUGUAACUGACUCU